UACGUAGGGGGCUGGCGUUGCUCGGAAUCACUGGGCGUAAAGCGCACGUAGGCGGAUUGCUAAGUCAGGGGUGAAAUCCUGGAGCUCAACUCCAGAACUGCCUUUGAUACUGGGGAUCUCGAGUCCGGGAGAGGUGAGUGGAACUGCGAGUGUAGAGGUGAAAUUCGUAGAUAUUCGCAAGAACACCAGUGGCGAAGGCGGCUCACUGGCCCGGUACUGACGCUGAGGUGCGAAAGCGUGGGGAGCAAACAGG
rnacentral:rRNA from 1 species